UCAGCCCUAAACACAAAUAAUUUUAAAAACAAAAUUAUUCGCCAGAGUACUACCGGCAACAGCCUAAAACUCAAAGGACUUGGCGGUGCUUUAUACCCUUCUAGAGGAGCCUGUUCUAUAAUCGAUAAACCCCGAUAGACCUCACCAAUUCUUGCUAAUACAGUCUAUAUACCGCCAUCUUCAGCAAACCCUAAAAAGGAACAAAAGUAAGCGCAAUCAUAACACAUAAAAACGUUAGGUCAAGGUGUAACCUAUGAAAUGGGAAGAAAUGGGCUACAUUUUCUACUUCAAGAAAACCCACAUACGAAAGUUAUUAUGAA
rnacentral:rRNA from 1 species